UUGGUUCAGUUUCUGUGUACCCCAAUUCUAAAGCGCACCCCCGAGCCUUGCAUCUAAGAAACUCGUCUGG